UGUUUUCACAGAUUUAUUUUGAUGUUACAUCAUAUUUGUAAGAGGAACAUUCAUUAGGUUUAAACAAAAUCAUACAAAAGAAUUGUAACGCUUGCAUAUUGUUAACCUAGAAGCACUUUUAGUCUUUGUUAGGUUUAUCGAAAAACAAUUUGGCAAACACCCUUUUUUGAAUGUCAUGCUCUUGCAGGCUGCAGUAACAUUUGAGUUUUGUAAGUGCAAAGGUCCAUUCAAACAGGUGGUGACAUUACAAUCCUUGGUUUAUGUACAUUUUGGAGCUUGUCAACAUUCAGCAUUUCCAAAAGCAGAAUAAAAAUUUGAAAGCUUGAAGAUAUAUUUACAUGUACAUUUAUUUUCCUUCCUUUUGGUCAUACAAAUUCUGCCUCUGAUGCUUCUGACUUCAGAUGUUAGUAAAAAAAAUAUUGUUAAUUGGGCAAAACUGUUUCUUUUAAACAUAUCAGGAGGUUUAUUUUCCCUGACAUCAUCUAAACACAGCUCCUUUGCAAUACUGAUAAAGUUUCUCUGUACUUUGCCACAUUAUAUUACAGCAGAUGUAGAAGUUGUAUCUAAAUGGCGAUUCUCCAUUAAUGAAUUUGUAUAAGGUCAAGUCCUGGAUAUUUUACUAACUGUAACAACAAACCACUGCUUCCUACUCUAUGCAUUAUAAUCUACAACAUCUACAAAGACACCUUCCAACAAACGGCUACACUCUAUGAUCUCAGCUAUGAUAAUUAAAGUUUGUGCUUUCUAGACAUUCCCUGUAAUGGAAAGAGCAGAGGGGUGUGGUACUUCAUCACGGCCAGAAGGAGGCACUGUGUAACCAUCAAACAAAAGACCCCAGUGUUGACAAGGCAAGGUACUGUACGUUACCACAGGGUAUGAGGAUACAGGUAGGUGGCAAAAUCAUUCAAUCCAUCAUCAGUCACCGCAAAUCAGAAUAAAUUUGUUACGUUCAUUCAGGUCCUGAUGUAUUUUUAUAGCUGCAUAAAACUACUGAGAGAAAGAUAUUAAACAAUAAAAGAUAAAUCCAGAUAGAUUCAAUUAAAUGUCUCUUUUUUAACCCAUCAUGAACUUCAGUGGUAUUUUUAAGAGAAUAGAAGUAGUUAUGAAAGGGUAGUACUUCAGAAAGUCUGAGGAUCCAUGAUUGCAAGGCCAUUCAGAAAUAGUCACAAUAUAUCUUGACCCAGCUCUAAUUUGUGAGUGAAAUCUAUGAAGGUGUGGAUAUUUAACAGUUUAUAAAUUUUUCUUCCUUCUUGAAUUUGUCUUUCAAGUGGAAGACAUUUGAUUUCAGACGCGACGAUAAGGCACAGCCCCUCACAAGCUCAGGUCGAUGAUGAUGUGCUCAAAGAUCUGCGUGUUUCCCUUGAAGCUCGAGGAAAAAAUAAAGUCCCUGCGGUCGGUAGAUACCACGGUGAAAGAGCGUGGGGCUUGGAUGUACACCUCCUUAAAGCGGUCAAAGAUUUUGUUGUCCUCAUCCCACAGGUAGAUCUGUGAGAAGGUGUAGUCGCUUCCCAGAGCCAGAUAGUAACGUUCCUUGAAAGAGAACGGCUGGAGAAUCAUGGAGCCUCGAGAGGGCAAAGCUUGGAUCUCAGCAAACUGUUUGGUGCCCCAACGCAGAACUUUGGAAUCACCGAUAUACCGCGUCAUAGCCAGGUAGAGCUCCUCCUUGAUCCGGAAGUGUUUCACAAUCACUACAUCCUCCAUGUUGGGGAUCUCACCCUGCAGGAUGAACUUCUGGUUGCUCCGGCUCCACUGGUAGAUCACUGGAACCUGUGAGCGGCUCGCUAGAAUAAGGUGAGCUUUCCCAUCCAAGUCCAGAAACUCUACAUCCGUGUCGCGGUACCACUCGUGCAGUGACUGGUACGAAUAAAAGCCAUUAUCAUUCCACUUGUAGAGGGUGGAGAGGCCAGCUUUUGAGCUGUCAGCAAUCACAAAGAACCAAUCAGAGCCAAUCUGGAAGGCCUCAAUAUCAUUGGGCUUAGAGAUCUUGGACACUUCGAUAUCCUGGAACUUAUUGAACCUGCUUUGGUCGUCAUCAAACUUGUAAAUGUGGGAACCACCAAACAGCUGAGCCACAAUGACAAACACCUCAUAUUUGAUGAUGACAGAUUUGCACCCCACAAUGGACUGACCUAAAGGGCAGAGAAACACAUGAAUCGCGUGAGAAUGAAACUGGGAGCAUUCUGGGAGUGUUUGUUAGCCUAAUG
rnacentral:lncRNA from 1 species